rnacentral:lncRNA from 1 species
GAUGAGGUUCGUUCUUUCUUCUCAGAAAAAAAAAAUCCACACCAAUAAGCCUGAAGCACUAAAUUUUCUAGAAGCUAAAAAACAAAAGAAAAAACGAGAGAGAAAGAAAGAGCUUCCUUUGCAAAAUCAACAACAACAACAACAAUUUAUUCGACUCCAACACUUCUUCCAACUUUUCAACUCCUCUAUUCGACUCUAAAAUUAAGCAAAUCUAAAAUAAAAUUAACAAGAUAUACUUUUUCAUUUUCAAUUUCAAAUUAAGAAGAAAGAUUAUUGUAGAUUCUUCUUUGAUAAGUUUAGAUCUGAUUCAGAUCCUAUGUCUUGAAAUUCACGUAAUAUUUGUUUGCGUCCAUCUUCUUCACCAUCUUGUCGCCUUUCCGAUCUUCAGAAAAAUGAAAGAUGAAGAAUUUACAAAUAAGAGAAAGAGAAAAGAGAAAGGAGAAUGAAAAAGGAAAGAGAAAAGGG